GCAGAACGCGAAGAACCUUACCAGGGCUUAAAUGCAGUCCGACAGGAUUGGAAACAGUCCUUUCUUCGGACGGAUUGCAAGGUGCUGCAUGGUUGUCGUCAGCUCGUGCCGUGAGGUGUCAGGUUAAGUCCUAUAACGAGCGCAACCCCUGCCGUUAGUUGCCAGCGAGUAAAGUCGGGAACUCUAGCGGGACUGCCGGUGCAAACCGUGAGGAAGGUGGGGAUGACGUCAAAUCAUCACGGCCCUUACGUCCUGGGCCACACACGUGCUACAAUGGCAGGUACAAUGGGCAGCCACUGCGCAAGCAGGCGCGAAUCCACAAAACCUGUCUCAGUUCGGAUCGGGGUCUGCAACUCGACCCCGUGAAGCUGGGAUCGCUAGUAAUCGGAUAUCAGCCAUGAUCCGGUGAAUACGUUCCCGGGUCUUACACACCG
rnacentral:rRNA from 1 species